GGACGCGGGAUUGCCUNACUGUAGGAAACCUUGUUACGACUUCACCCCAGUCAUGAAUCUCACCGUGGUCGGCGCCCCCCUUGGGGNUAGGCGACCGGCUUCUGGUGAAACCCACUCCCAUGGUGUGACGGGCGGCGUGUACAAGACCCGGGAACGUAUUCACCGCGACAUGCUGAUCCGCGAUUACUAGCGAUUCCGACUUCAUGCAGNCGAGUUGNAGACUGNAAUCCGGACUACGACGCGCUUUGUGGGAUUGGCUCCAGGUCACCCCUUGGNAACCCUCUGUACGNGCCAUUGUAUUACGUGUGAAGCCCUACCCAUAAGGGCCAUGAGGACUUGACGUCAUCCCCACCUUCCUCCGGUUUGUCACCGGCAGUCUCAUUAGAGUGCCCAACUGAAUGUAGCAACUAAUGACAAGGGUUGUGCUCGUUGCGGGACUUAACCCANCAUCUCACGACACGAGCUGACGACAG
rnacentral:rRNA from 1 species